rnacentral:rRNA from 1 species
GCGAACAGAUGAGGAGCUUGCUCCUCUGACGUUAGCGGCGGACGGGUGAGUAACACGUGGAUAACCUACCUAUAAGACUGGGAUAACUUCGGGAAACCGGAGCUAAUACCGGAUAAUAUAUUGAACCGCAUGGUUCAAUAGUGAAAGACGGUUUUGCUGUCACUUAUAGAUGGAUCCGCGCCGCAUUAGCUAGUUGGUAAGGUAACGGCUUACCAAGGCAACGAUGCGUAGCCGACCUGAGAGGGUGAUCGGCCACACUGGAACUGAGACACGGUCCAGACUCCUACGGGAGGCAGCAGUAGGGAAUCUUCCGCAAUGGGCGAAAGCCUGACGGAGCAACGCCGCGUGAGUGAUGAAGGUCUUCGGAUCGUAAAACUCUGUUAUUAGGGAAGAACAAAUGUGUAAGUAACUAUGCACGUCUUGACGGUACCUAAUCAGAAAGCCACGGCUAACUACGUGCCAGCAGCCGCGGUAAUACGUAGGUGGCAAGCGUUAUCCGGAAUUAUUGGGCGUAAAGCGCGCGUAGGCGGUUUUUUAAGUCUGAUGUGAAAGCCCACGGCUCAACCGUGGAGGGUCAUUGGAAACUGGAAAACUUGAGUGCAGAAGGGGAAAGUGGAAUUCCAUGUGUAGCGGUGAAAUGCGCAGAGAUAUGGAGGAACACCAGUGGCGAAGGCGACUUUCUGGUCUGUAACUGACGCUGAUGUGCGAAAGCGUGGGGAUCAAACAGGAUUAGAUACCUGGUAGUCCACGCCGUAAACGAUGAGUGCUAAGUGUUAGGGGGUUUCCGCCCCUUAGUGCUGCAGCUAACGCAUUAAGCACUCCGCCUGGGGAGUACGACCGCAAGGUG